AAAGCUGAAAGUUAGCGGCAGAGCUACUUUGACAGUUGUGACUACACCUAAACUUGGCUAAUUGCAGGCACCGAACUGGACCUCUCCGACGUGCUCUGCAGCUCGUUCUACUCCACUCGCUCUGCACAACAGAACAUCCAAACGGCUCAAGUUCUGUCUGCAUCAUUGUCAAGGAAACAUGUUGGUCUGCAUGCUGGGGAUAGGAAUGUAGCUGCUUUGCAGUCAUCGAUGGCAUCGUGCAGCAUUGCUCCCCCUCCCUGGGUCAACUCCUGAGGUUUCUUCCAGCCCAGUAAAAGCUUUCCAGCAGUAUCACAAACAGGAGUUGGAAUCACUGGAACAAACAUGGAUGUCCCUUUUUCCAACCUAAAGACAUUCCUAACAAGAGAAGGAGAGGCAAAAGUUCAGUGAAUGCAAAAGCUAAGCUUGAGCUGAAAAGAGGAAGGAAGUCAAGAACAGAAGCCAAGCAAGGAAGAAGAGGGUGGGGUGGCACUGGGUAGUAGGGAAAUUAAGUAAAUGGCUCUUUUAUAUUGCCUGUGUUCAACUGAAAUGGAAAGUUACUCCAGAUAAAUAAGCU